rnacentral:sRNA from 1 species
AAAAGUAGAAUUCAAACGUUCCUCGAGC